rnacentral:ncRNA from 1 species
UAUUUAAUAUGUAAAUAUUAUAUUAAAAAUUUAUUUGCAGUUUUUAGUUUUAAAACAUUAUUUAAGUAAGUUUUAGUAAUUAAUUAUAGAUUUAAUAAAAUUUGUGCCAGCAAUUGCGGUUAUACAAAUAAUUCAAUUGAAAUUUAUUGGUUAAUAAUUAAUUUGUUUUAAUUAAUUUAUUAUUAAAAUUUUUAAGUGAAAUUUAAAUUUUAAUAUAAUUUUUUUGUUUAUAUUUGAAGUUAUUAAAAUUAAUAUUAAACUAGGAUUAGAUACCCUAUUAUUAUAAUUGUAAAGUUUAAAUACCAGAUUAGUAUUAGUUGUUUUCUUAAAAAUUAAAGGAUUUGGCGGUAUUUUAGUCUAUUCAGAGGAACCUGUCCUGUAAUCGAUAAUCCACGAUUAGAAUAACUUUUCUUUUUCUUGUAUAUCGUUGUUUUUGAAUAUUUUAUAAGAAUUUAAAUUUUCAAUAAGUAUAUUUUAGUUAAUUUCAGAUCAAGGUGCAGUUUAUAGGAAAGAAGAUGAUGGGUUACAUUAAAUUUAUUUUUGGUUUAAUAUUUUGAAUAAUAUUAUUAAAUUGGAUUUGAUAGUAAUAUUUUAUAUAUUUAUUAUAUGAUUUUAGCUCUAAAAUGUGUACAUAUUGCCCGUCGCUCUCAUUUAUUUGAGAUAAGUCGUAACAAAGUAGAUUUACUGGAAAGUGAAUCUAGUAUUA